GUGUCAGCAGCCGCGGUAAUACGGAGGGUGCAAGCGUUAUCCGGAUUUACUGGGUUUAAAGGGUGCGUAGGCUGAUAGGUAAGUCAGUGGUGAAAUCCUGGAGCUUAACUCCAGAACUGCCAUUGAUACUAUCUAUCUUGAAUAUUGUGGAGGUUUGCGGAAUAUGUCAUGUAGCGGUGAAAUGCUUAGAUAUGACAUGGAACACCUAUUGCGAAGGCAGCAGGCUACACAUAUAUUGACGCUGAGGCACGAAAGCGUGGGGAUCAAACAGGAUUAGAUACCCUGGUAGUCCACGCCCUAAACGAUGAUUACUCGACAUACGCGAUACACUGUGUGUGUCUGAGCGAAAGCAUUAAGUAAUCCACCUGGGAAGUACGACCGCAAGGUUGAA
rnacentral:rRNA from 1 species